rnacentral:rRNA from 1 species
AGGGCACCACCAGGAGUGGAGCCUGCGGCUUAAUUUGACUCAACACGGGGAAACUCACCCGGCCCGGACACCGGAAGGAUUGACGGAUUGAUAGCUCUUUCUUGAUUCGGUGGAUGGUGGUGCAUGGCCGUUCUUAGUUGGUGGAGCGAUCUGUCUGGUUAAUUCCGAUAACGAACGAGACUCUAGCCUAUUAAAUAGACGUCGGGUUCUCUGCACUCGACGGUCUUCUUAGAGGGACAAGGUGCUUUUAGCACCGCGAAACAGAGCAAUAACAGGUCUGUGAUGCCCUUAGAUGUCCGGGGCCGCACGCGCGCUACACUGAAGGAAGCAGCGUGUAACAACCUUGUUCUAACGAACUGGGUAACCCGUGGAACUUCCUUCAUGAUUGGGAUAGGGGUUUGCAAUUGUGCCCCUUGAACGAGGAAUUCCCAGUAAACACUAGUCAUCAGCUAGUGCUGAUUACGUCCCUGCCCUUUGUACACACCGCCCGUCGCUACUACCGAUUGAAUGGUUUAGUGA